CCGGGACCUCAAGAUGACCACACUGAUACAAUAUAGUUUAAUUUCCAGCCAAGAUCAGAGUUAACCGAGACAUAUAUGGUGGAUAAAAAGCUCUUAAAAAUAUGGGUGUUCCGAGGAAAGUAUACCACUAGGGAAUGUGGGUUACAUUAGUAAUGGAGGAAUAUUUUGACAGCAGACGAAACUAAAGUGUUGCCAUGGUGACGGUGGUGGUGGGCAUGAUACAGAUGCGGGAGGUGGAGUUUGUGCCCGAUGGAGACAUGCAGCUGGACAAAUUGUGUUGCUCAUUGGUCAGACUGGAGUUUACAUGUGUACCUCCUUCACCAUCAUUGGUGGACACUUCACCAUGAGUGAUGCUUGAGCUGUCACGGUGCUGCUGCUGUUGUCUGCCAUCAUCCCCCUGACACAGACCACCCUGCAGACCACCUUCAUCCUGGGUGCCACACGUCACUGCUGCUACAACUCAGAGCAACUGGAGCGCAAGCCAGGAAGGGACAAAUCCCGAGGAUCAACGAGGACAUGGUGGACCCAGAGAUUGCAGCAGCAGCGAGAGAGAGAGAGAGAAGCAAGAGAGGAGGGAGAGGAAGGAGAGGAGGAGGAGAGAGAGGGAGGCCAGGAGGGAGGCACGUCAGAGAGAGAGGGAGAGGAAAAGGUUGAUUCUGUUACAACAACAACUGCAACAACAACAACAGUUAGUCAGUGAGGAGGGGGAGGGGCCGUCCUCUGAUGCUGAGGAUGAGGUAUUGUUCAGGGAGGCCAUGUCGGAGGUGCCGGUGGUGGGGUCGCCAGUUCCGGAGUACGAGGUGGAGGAGGAAAAGGAAGAGGAGGACGAGGAGGAGGCACGGAUAAGGAAGAAGAAAAGAUUAUUACCUGUAGCCCUCCCUCCAGCUGAUAAGGGGAUAUUAAGGAGCCCUUCCUACAGGUUCGUUCGAUGCAAGGAGUUGGCACAGGAGGCGUCCGAGGCUGUGUAGAGCGGCCGUCUGAACCUGGUGCCACAGCUUACUAUGUUCAACAGAUGCCUGAAGGAAGUGUGUGUAAGGGAGGAUAAAGAGAUCAUGCUGGCCUAUGCAGACGAUGUCGCUGUCGUGACAGGAAGCCAACAAGAUCUUCAAGAGGCCAUGACAAGAUGGAAUGAUGUUUUAAAUAGGGAAGGAAUGAGAAUGAACAAACAAAAAACUUAUUUACUAGUGGACAAGCAACAAGUGAUGGUGUGGCUCUGAGCCACUGUAGUAGGGAUGUUAUGGUUUAAGUGUAGGAAGUUGCAAAUGCUCACCUAACAAUUGCACCUUAGUAGAAAAACACAAACAGGAAGUUUAUGCAAGUUUUUAUCCUUAUAUAAAAUGUUGUAUUGCAUCAAACCUCCAUACAUUACUGUCUCUAUCCAGUAUGAGACCGGUGUUCAGGAAGCACAAGCAUGUGCUGAAUAACAAGAAGCCGGCAUUGGUGAAUGGUGACAACAUUUCAUCUAUUUAUACAUACUUUUUAUUAUUAAAGCUUAUCUUAUAAUUAUUUCUGAAGAGAUUGACUAAUUUUUGUAGUAUUUAUGACUUAGAACUAUGAUAAAGCUAUGAAUUGAUAUAAUUCCUGAUUUGUUUUAUCUUUUCAUUAUCCUUCCUUUGUUAAUUGAGCAUUUUAUAUUACUUAGCUUAAAAAUGCAAGAACGGUUCAGAAGUAUCCAACCUUGGGCUAAGGGCCAAAAUUAUGGUAUCAUUCAAAAUGUCCUUCAAAGAAAGCCCUCUGUAAUCCAACACACUUAGCCCAUUAAUCCUUCCAUUUCUCAUCAAUUUGUUCAACAUUCAUAUUUUUCCCUUAUAGGGUUGAACAAUUUUCAUGGGUUCAGAGCAAAAGGCUUCCUCAUUCCUCCCCAAGGUAUUCUCGGAUGGUAAGCAGGUUUGACUCUGGAGCAAACCUGACCAAGGGCUACUGCCCAAGGCUACAGAGGUUCCUCUCCCUGAGGCUGAAUGCACCAUGUGAGAUGGUUCUGUUAUGUGGAUGAAUGUCAUGGUGGAUAGCAGUGCCACCACAUUCCUACAAUCAUCCAUCACUCCACUGCUCAAACGCUUCUGCAACCAAUGAUAGGUAUGCUGCCACAUUCUGCAUGGUCUCCUUGGCUCUCAGAUAAGGAUACUGUCAACAGGUUUGGGAUUGCCAAAAAAUCAUAAGGAGCUAUGUCUGAAAAGUCCAGAGAGAGAGAGAGAGAGAAAGAAUGAGCAAGAGAAAGAGUAGGAUGAAGCAAAGGAAGAGUCAAGAGGGAGGAAGAGAGAGUAGGACAAGAAAAAACAGAACAAAUAAAUCCCCUACACGUCUUGUCUCCAUUCACACAAGCCAUGAAAAGCUUGUCCAUCCCUGAGUGCUCAGAAGCAGUGUUCCACUGAUGAUGUGGAAACUUGAGACACCCAAUCAUUUAAUGGGCUUUAGUAGGUUUUGUCACCAGUCUUCUGUGUGUCACUGACUACAUUUUGAAAUUUUUAUCUGUUCUAUUUAAUUUUGUGUGUAUGUACACAAUGUUUAUGGUCAAUAAACUAUUUAUAAAACUAUUUAUCUGUGUGAGUAAGAUAAAAGCAGUUAUUGUUAUUAUUAUUAUUAUUAUUAUUAUUAUUAUUAUUAUUAUUAUUAUUAUUAUUACACAUUUUCCUCCUUGUAUUUAAAUAUUAUUAUUAUUAUUAUUAUUAUUAUUAUUAUUAUCAUGAAUUGUUCUUGUUUAUAAAUAAAAUACUGUAACUGA